ACGUGCACGCUUCGUCUUCGUCUUCUUCAUCUCUCACCCCUGUGCAGGUCCGCGUGGGUCCCGUUAGUUCGGGCCCACGUCCUUUUUCCAUGAAAAACACGCAUGUCAUAAGAACGUCUUACUUCGCCUUUAGAAGCGAAACCAGUACAACUUUCAACAACGGAUCUCUUGGCUCUCGCAUCGAURAAGAACGCAGCGAAAUGCGAUAAGUAAUGUGAAUUGCAGAAUUCAGUGAAUCAUCGAAUCUUUGAACGCACCUUGCGCCCCUUGCUAUUCCGAGGGGCACGCCUGUUUGAGUAUCGUGAAAUUCUCAACCCUCACCCCUUUUCGGAGUCGGUGAAGGGCUUGGACUUUGGAGGUCUUGCCGGGUCCCUUGGUGGAAUCGGCUCCUCUCGAAUGCAUUAGCGGGGCUCGCUCGUCCUCUAUCGGACUGCCCUUUGGUGUGAUAAUUCAUCAGCACCGAUCGGGCGUUCGUGACUUUAGAAGGAUGGCCUCUGCUUCCAACCGUCUCGUUUCAGAGACCAAGCGCCGUUUCGACGACGAAACCUUUUGAUCUCAAAUCAGGCGGGACUACCCGCUGAACUUAAGCAUAUCA
rnacentral:rRNA from 1 species